CAGUCGCCGCGGUAAUGCGGAGGGGGCUAGCGUUGUUCGGAAUUACUGGGCGUAAAGCGCACGUAGGCGGCUUUGUAAGUUAGAGGUGAAAGCCUGGGGCUCAACUCCAGAAUUGCCUUUAAGACUGCAUCGCUUGAACGUCGGAGAGGUGAGUGGAAUUCCGAGUGUAGAGGUGAAAUUCGUAGAUAUUCGGAAGAACACCAGUGGCGAAGGCGGCUCACUGGACGACUGUUGACGCUGAGGUGCGAAAGCGUGGGGAGCAAACAGGAUUAGAUACCCGCGUAGUCCCUGUCUCUUAUAC
rnacentral:rRNA from 1 species